rnacentral:misc_RNA from 1 species
UAGAGUUGAAAACUUCAUUGACGUCACCUACUUUCCUAUUUCCGGAACUAUGAGCAAGUAAAGUAAUAGCAGCCACACGAAAUGAGAUUUGUAUUGGGUACAUGAAGUUUUCAACGAGAACAAACACUACCCUGACAAGAAGUUUGGUCCACUACAGGCUCUAAUUGGAUUAUAAACUGCAUUCAUACAAAGAUUUUAUGAAUGGAGGACUACAAGUAUCUGUUUAAGGUAGUUCUGAUUGGAAAUGCUGGUGUGGGAAAAACUUGUCUCGUGAGUCGAUAUACAAAGGGGUUUUUCCCUCCUGGACAAAUGGCUACCAUUGGAGUGGAUUUUAUGAUAAAAACAGUUGAAAUUGAUGGCGACAAAGUAAAACUGCAGAUCUGGGAUACUGCUGGUCAGGAGAGAUUCCGUUCGAUCACCCAGAGUUACUACCGUUCAGCUAAUGCUCUUAUUCUGGUAUACGAUGUCUGCUCCCAGCAAUCAUAUGAAAGCUUACCUCACUGGAUACAUGAAAUUGAGUUAUAUGCUGGAACCAAAGUUCUUUCAUAUCUUGUUGGUAACAAGAUUGAUCAAGCAGACAAACGUGAGAUCCCAACACAUGUUGGUCGAGAAUUUGCUGAACGCUAUGAAAUGCGGUUUUUGGAAACAUCAGCUAAAGAAGCUGACAAUGUGGAAAAGCUGUUCUGCUCUAUUGCUCACCAGCUAACUGCCCAAGCACGAGAUUUGGAACUAAGGCCAGAACAGCAGAAUACUUUUGUCACAGGAGGCUCAACUCCAAUAUCACCUCCUGGUUGUUGUAAAUUUUGAUGACGUGUCACUGGAUCAGUUGCCCUUGGUAUAGAAGUUUCUUUGCAGCUCUUCUUGAAUGUGAAGGAGUCCCAUGAUUCACCUGGUGGAUGACAAACACUGAUAGUAGUCCUUGGAAAAUAUUCACGAGUGCAUACACAGUUAAAAGGAUAAAAAGCAUUAUCUGUUUACAGUUUCCUUAGUACUUGUAAUCGAAAAACUGAGUUUGAUUAAGUGAUAACGUUUAGAAAACAAAAUGCUCAUUAUGGAUAGAUUUACUGUUUUGCAUUUAUUGUGUGUGUGCACACUUAUAUGCAUGAAUGCUUACUCUUACAGACAGAAAUCCAUGCUUGUGUAAAAGUGUGCACAUGGAUUGUUGCAUAUGUUUUCAUAUAUGGAAUUUGAUACAGGUGAAAUAUGUGCCUAGGUUUCUUUGUAGAGUCUGUAAAAAGAAAUAUGUUUUUGGUAAUUUUUUUUCCCCUGCCUGAAUAUAGAGAAACAUUCCAAGCCAGUGAUAUUCUUUAUUUGGCUUAGUUCUCAACAAAAUUUGUUUUUCAGUUUUGCACAAGAGCGUUUGGACUAAAACCUCAGACACAUGAAAAAUGUGAAACCAUGUUUUUCCUGUUUGCUGAGACCUACACUGCGAACAAAAUAAUUUGGCAAACCUGUUUGGAUCUUGCUUGUGGCUUGUUUGCCGCUUCAGAACUCGUUCUAAAAUUUUGCAUGGGUUUUCAGUUUUUCAACAUGGCUUCCAUGGCCACUUGCCAAUUUGACUGAAUUGAAUUUCUGUUAAGUGAAUUAUUUAUAAAUUGAUCUUGAAUUAUGGGUCCUUCAAACUUUGUUGUUUCUCACAAAAGACUUUUUAGAAAAAACAAUCUUUAGGUCCAUUUGGCAGGCAGUAUUGGGCCAGGGCUUCUGCUUACACAAAAAAUUGCGUACAGUACGCAUUAAAAGUUCGGAGGACCCCUUCAAUUUUCGUCAAUGGGGUCCCAUUCAAAUUUGGGCGAAGAACAGGGACCCCUUAAAAAUCUGAAGAAAGGGUCCCUGGGACCCCAUAGAAUUUAGCCUUAGCAGGAGCCACUUUGGAGAUUUGACAACAUCACUUCAAAACUUCAUUGUAGAUUUUAAAAAUAAAGUUACAGUGUGCUGGUAUAAAAUGUUUGCUGUGGCUGGGUAUUAUAUGCUUUGCUGACACCAUAAAGUUGUAAAACAAGCUCAGAAUUAAGAGAAAAGUUAUGCUCUCAUGGUUAAAACUAAGUACUUAGUGCUGAUACUAGAGGUAGCAGCGCUUGAAGCCUAUGUUGUGUAGUCGUUAACUGUAGCUCAAGGCAGGAGAUUUAUCUUCUCAGUGUGGUUUUUUUUCCUCCUGAAACAGCUAUAAUUUGACUCCGCCUAUAAUACCUUUUUCAGCAUGAUUCAUACAAAAAGAUUCAUGUUGCUGACAGUCUAAUUUAGACACAACUGCUGAAAUGACAGAUUUUACUUGCCUUGCAAUGAUUUUAUUGCUAGAACAAUGCGUUCAGUAAUAGGUUUACACUAUAAAUUAAUCACUCCUUAAUCUACAAAUACAGCCACAGCAGAAGAUAUAAGCCCACAUUAUGGAGGUCUAAGUGUUAAAAGCAAAUGUGCACCAUUAUUUACUUUAUUUCAUUGCUUUGAGAGAUAUAUGUACACACACUAACAUGAGCAGAUUAGCAUCUGUGAACAGUUACUGUCGUACACAUAGUUUCCCAAAUGGCAUACUUGAAGGUUUGCUGUGUGAUUAGCAGUUGCAAAAACUGGUUUGUGAAGCAGUCGGCAAGCAGGCUUGGCAAACCGCUGUUUUUGAAAAACAGGUUUGCCAAACUAUUUUUGGUUUGUUGUGCAUCUGAACCUUUACAGAAUGUCAGUCCCUCAUCAUUUUGACAGAGUGGACUUUUCUCCCUUUUGGAUGCUUGGUGGUCAUUUGUAGUGAAAAUCCUUUUAUGCUGGGAGAAUGGAUAGUCUAGUCGUUAAAGAAAUAUCAUCUGAACUUGAAGCUCUAACACAGGGUACUUAUAGUCAACCCAGCUGAAGAGUGAGUACCUGAUUUAAAUUGGAUAUUUGAAAAAUUAAGAAAUGAUGCACCAUCCUAAGGGGAAAUCGAGACUAAAAGACAAACUUUUCCUGAAGAUUUGAAUUUAUUUAUGGUAUUUUUUGCUCUCCAUAACAGUAUUUUGCUUAUUGCUAAUCAAAUCAAACACUGUUGAAAAAAGCUUGAGCAAUUUUAGAGGUCAAGAUAUGAUUGAAAUGUUUGGAUAUGGUCAUGUUUUGUAUUCUCUAUCCUGUUGUCUUCUAUAUGUAACCCAUUAACAAAUUCCAAGUUACUCGAUGCUAUCACAUUAUCCGUAUUCUAUUGUCAUUGUCCCCUAAUACUUAUUGACAGUACAACUUGACUCAUUCAGUUUUGUGUACAAAUAUUAGUGGCCUCUAAUUUGUCACAUUCAAUAAUGUUCACUCCAAAAGUAUGUAAACAAACAGGGAUGAAAUCUGACCAUUUAACGAGUCAUUUUAAAAUAGAGUUACAUCCCUUAACAAACAGAAAGAUUUGAUUGGAAUUGAAAAAUUUUUCUAGGUGUAUUUUUUUCUUAAAAAGUCAUGUAAACAUGAUAGUGAUAGCACAUAUCAAGAAGGCCAUUGACUUUUUCUUUAUUUUUGAGCCAGUUUCAUAGUCUAGAGCUAUUCUUCCUGAUCACAAAUUAUGUUUCUGUAUGGUGUGUGACCAUUAGAAUUCACUUCCUAGACAUCACACAGGUCAUACAUUUUCUGUAAUAUUGUGUCCAAAAAUUACUGAUAGAUUUAGAAGAUUUUCACGAUGGACCGGGGAGUAGCUUAUGUCCACUUUCUUUAAACUUUAUAUUUUUUUUUAUUUGUCCUGUUUAUUUUUUAUGAAAAAAAUCAGGGAUAUCUGAGUACUUUCAUGAACGUCAAGGUCACAUGUCGAUAUGAACACAGAUUAAUGUAUGUAUGAAGGGGUGUGGUUGUGUAGGUUUUCAGUGUAAUCUACCCACAUUGACAUUCUGUGCUGCAUAUUGUCUCUGGGGCUCAGGGUAGCUACAUCCCUGCCUCAUGGAUUAAACAGCUGUCAUUAUCCACUCCUUUUAAAAGUGGCAUUUAUCAAUCAAAAUAGUUUUUAUUUAGCGUGCAUAUAGGUAUAGCUUGUGUAUAUAUACUUAGGCAUGUUUUUGCAUGGAUGCAUGUGAGUUGUAAAACAAGGGAGUGAUAUGCUUUGCAGAAGAACACUUUGAUAAAGCUAAAAGGUUAUGUAAAUAUUAUAAGAACACUAAAAAAAUCUUUGUAUAUGCAGAUACAUAGAAGUGUAUAGAUGUGUAUAUUCAUGCAAACUACUGUGGGUAUGGGUGGUUGCUGGGAUGCAUGUAUGUAUUGUUUGAUCAAAAUUGCAAAAUCUUCCACAGUUUUUUUUUUUUUUUUUUUUUUUAAUUUUAGCUAGUCAUGUGGAUUUUCUUCACAGUGAAUAGUGGAAGUCUGCAUUUAUUUGGUAUUGCAAUCCACAUUCAUGUUUAUCCACUUCCACAGCCUGUCUUUUUAUGUGGCAGUAGAACCUGUUGAUUUGUUGAUGUUUUUCAGCCACAUGAUAUUAUGCCUAAAAAUGCUCAUAGCACACUGCCAUUUUAAUUUUCUAUUUGCUGCUAUUUUUUUCUUGUUCCAGUAUUAUGCUAAUGAAUUUGAAACACUGUCUAUGGCACUAAGAUUUGUGUAAUUGUCCUCGGCUUUACAGUUCAUAUGCUUUAGGGUCUUGUGAUCAAGGAGUGGUCCAUACAUAUUUUUAAGACCUACCUUGUUUGUGUUGGCCUUUUGGCUUGUAUUCAGGUGGAUGUCCCAGCCAUACUUAAUGUGUCACGUUUUUGUUGCGUUUCAACUUGUUGUAACUGUUGUAUGCUUUGAAGUUUCUAUGAUUACCUGAAAGUAUUAUAAGUUCCACAAGAAGACAGUUGUAUUUUUUUGAAGUAAAAGAGCAUCCUGCAUUUUUGAUAGAACAUUAUUAUGUCAUCUAAGAGUACCUGUGAUGGUGUGUUGAAGAUGCUGUAUUUCACAAACAAGUUCUUAUAGUAGUGUAAGUUUUAUGUUUUUGUAGGUUUUACACACACACAAAAAAAAAAGUUUUGCAAGUGACAUUAGUGUACAGUUUUUCUGAAAAUAAGAGUAGGGUGGAAAGGUGAAAGUACUGUCUGUUAUUUCCUGUGAUUUUUAACAUGACAUUUUCCUUAUUCUAUUAUCAUUUAUGUACAGUAUGCUAAUAUAACGACAGUCUUUUGCAAACAGUAUUCUUUUAUUUGCAUUGGAUGCUUUACAUUACCUAUAAUUUCAUUUCCUGUCCUUUGUACACUUACAUUUCCACUUUUUUGGUUUAUUAUUAUGGACUGAUAGUUUGUGUCUUGUGCUUUGCACAACGUUAGAGGAAUGUUUAAACACCUUUUCAAACUGAAAUUUUUCAGUUUCUUCUGGUUUGAAGUCAGCAAUAUAUUUUGUUUUACUGCUUUGUAAUCUUGGAGCCCAAAGUUUGUAUUCAAUAAUUGUAAACCACUUAAACAUACUUUUUUCCCUUGAAUAUUGUAACUACAAAGAUAAUGGCAGGUGUUAGGUUCAGGUUGCCUCCCUUUUACCUAUUUUAUUUGACAGAUAACUUAGUUAUCUCACAGCCAUAUGCGCAGAUCAGCAAUGAAAUAACAAAAUAGAAGUAUUAUUCAUGCGAAAGUUUAUAAGGUUACUGUAAGAUAAUACAUGUUUUUGCAUUUUUUAAUAAACUUGCGAAAACAGGUUUUAAUACAUGCAGUUACUUAUUACUAAUGUUUAUUUACUUCUUUCCUAAAAAGGAAAAUAUGAGUAAAGAUUAAGCUGGCUUUUUCAUUUGUGUUUAAUGAAAACAUUGUUUUCAAGGACAAUUGUCUAUUAAACUGGCAUGGUCGUUUUA